AGAGUUUGAUCCUGGCUCAGGAUGAACGCUGGCGGCGUGCCUAACACAUGCAAGUCGAGCGGCAGCGCGAGUAGUUUACUACUUGGCGGCGAGCGGCGAACGGCUGAGUAACGCGUGGGAAUUUGCCCCAAAGUGAGGAAUAACUGCCCGAAAGGGUGGCUAAUGCCGCAUAUGAUCUUCGGAUUAAAGGAUUUAUCCGCUUUGGGAGAAGCCCGCGUCGGAUUAGGUAGUUGGUGAGGUAAUGGCUCACCAAGCCGACGAUCCGUAGCUGGUCUGAGAGGAUGACCAGCCAGACUGGAACUGAGACACGGUCCAGACUCCUACGGGAGGCAGCAGUGAGGAAUCUUCCACAAUGGGCGAAAGCCUGAUGGAGCAACGCCGCGUGCAGGAUGAAGGCCUUCGGGUUGUAAACUGCUUUUAUAAGUGAGGAAUAUGACGGUAGCUUAUGAAUAAGGAUCGGCUAACUACGUGCCAGCAGCCGCGGUCAUACGUAGGAUCCGAGCGUUAUCCGGAGUGACUGGGCGUAAAGAGUUGCGUAGGCGGUUUGUUAAGUGAAUAGUGAAAUCUGGUGGCUCAACCAUACAGGCUAUUAUUCAAACUGGCAAACUCGAGAGUGGUAGAGGUCACUGGAAUUUCUUGUGUAGGAGUGAAAUCCGUAGAUAUAAGAAGGAACACCGAUGGCGUAGGCAGGUGACUGGACCAUUUCUGACGCUAAGGCACGAAAGCGUGGGGAGCGAACCGGAUUAGAUACCCGGGUAGUCCACGCCGUAAACGAUGGAUACUGGCUGUUGGAGGUAUCGACCCCUUCAGUAGCGAAGCUAACGCGUUAAGUAUCC
rnacentral:rRNA from 1 species